UACGUAGGGGGCUAGCGUUGUCCGGAUUUAUUGGGCGUAAAGAGCGUGUAGGCGGCCAUGUAGGUCCGGUGUGAAAACUCGAGGCUUAACCUCGAGAUGUCAUCGGAAACCAUUUGGCUAGAGUCCGGAAGAGGAGAGUGGAACUGCGAGUGUAGAGGUGAAAUUCGUAGAUAUUCGCAAGAACACCAGUGGCGAAGGCGGCUGACUGGUCCGGAUCUGACGCUGAGGCGCGAAAGCGUGGGGAGCAAACAGGG
rnacentral:rRNA from 1 species